rnacentral:lncRNA from 1 species
AAGAAAAGUACCAGCCCUAGCUUGACCCCCAGGCACCCCAUGAGUGUUCUCAGACACAAGUUUAUUCCUAUAGUUGUUUAUGAUGAUUCUCUCAAAUGACAGGCAAGACAGACAACAUGUCUGUCAGGAGCUGCCACAUAGGAACCAGAUGCCCCUUAGCCUUGAGCAAUGAGAAUGUGGAGAUGUGACAAGCCAGCCAUGGGGUGUGUGUGUGUGUGUGUGUGUGUGUGUGAGAACUACGAGCAUUGAGUGCCAAAGUGGACUGAACCCACUUUGCCCCUCUGUUUGGGCGAGCUUGGCUCUGGUCUUUUCGCUGGCUCUGCCUGUGAUCCCCACACAGCUCAUGAGAUGGGCAUGGCCUUCCUAGAUGUCAGUCGGCCUGCUGACAGUAGACAGCACAAAGCUAGACUCAACCCCUGGAACCUGACCCCUGGCCUCAUUUGAAUAGCUUCUCCCCAAUAAAAGGGUUCAGCUCCUCUCUCUCUUUCCACGGACAUCUAAGAUCAGAGGAGCUGUCAUAAGACCCAAGAAAAUGGUAUUUCUCGGGCUGGGGAUGUGGCUCAAGCGGUAGCGCGCUCGCCUGGCAUGCGUGCGGCCCAGGUUCAAUCCUCAGUACCACAUACAAAGAUGUUGUGUCCGCCAAUAACUAAAAAAUAAAUAUUA